rnacentral:rRNA from 1 species
GAUUAGUGGCGAACGGGUGAGUAACACGUGAGUAACCUGCCCUUGACUCUGGGAUAAGCCUGGGAAACUGGGUCUAAUACCGGAUACGACCAUUCCACGCAUGUGGUGGUGGUGGAAAGCUUUUGUGGUUUUGGAUGGACUCGCGGCCUAUCAGCUUGUUGGUGGGGUAAUGGCCUACCAAGGCGACGACGGGUAGCCGGCCUGAGAGGGUGACCGGCCACACUGGGACUGAGACACGGCCCAGACUCCUACGGGAGGCAGCAGUGGGGAAUAUUGCACAAUGGGCGCAAGCCUGAUGCAGCGACGCCGCGUGAGGGAUGACGGCCUUCGGGUUGUAAACCUCUUUCAGUAGGGAAGAAGCGAAAGUGACGGUACCUGCAGAAGAAGCGCCGGCUAACUACGUGCCAGCAGCCGCGGUAAUACGUAGGGCGCAAGCGUUAUCCGGAAUUAUUGGGCGUAAAGAGCUCGUAGGCGGUUUGUCGCGUCUGCUGUGAAAGACCGGGGCUCAACUCCGGUUCUGCAGUGGGUACGGGCAGACUAGAGUGCAGUAGGGGAGACUGGAAUUCCUGGUGUAGCGGUGAAAUGCGCAGAUAUCAGGAGGAACACCGAUGGCGAAGGCAGGUCUCUGGGCUGUAACUGACGCUGAGGAGCGAAAGCAUGGGGAGCGAACAGGAUUAGAUACCCUGGUAGUCCAUGCCGUAAACGUUGGGCACUAGGUGUGGGGGACAUUCCACGUUUUCCGCGCCGUAGCUAACGCAUUAAGUGCCCCGCCUGGGGAGUACGGCCGCAAGGCUAAAACUC